rnacentral:rRNA from 1 species
UACGUAGGUGGCAAGCGUUAUCCGGAAUUAUGGGGCGUAAAGCGCGCGCAGGCGGUUUCUUAAGUCUGAUGUGAAAGCCCACGGCUCAACCGUGGAGGGUCAUUGGAAACUGGGGAACUUGAGUGCAGAAGAGAAAAGCGGAAUUCCACGUGUAGCGGUGAAAUGCGUAGAGAUGUGGAGGAACACCAGUGGCGAAGGCGGCUUUUUGGUCUGUAACUGACGCUGAGGCGCGAAAGCGUGGGGAGCAAACAGG